rnacentral:rRNA from 1 species
CCUACGGGUGGCUGCAGUGGGGAAUAUUGCACAAUGGGCGCAAGCCUGAUGCAGCCAUGCCGCGUGUGUGAAGAAGGCCUUCGGGUUGUAAAGCACUUUCAGCGGGGAGGAAGGCGUUAAGGUUAAUAACCUUGGCGAUUGACGUUACCCGCAGAAGAAGCACCGGCUAACUCCGUGCCAGCAGCCGCGGUAAUACGGAGGGUGCAAGCGUUAAUCGGAAUUACUGGGCGUAAAGCGCAGGCAGGCGGUCUGUCAAGUCGGAUGUGAAAUCCCCGGGCUCAACCUGGGAACUGCAUUCGAAACUGGCAGGCUAGAGUCUUGUAGAGGGGGGUAGAAUUCCAGGUGUAGCGGUGAAAUGCGUAGAGAUCUGGAGGAAUACCGGUGGCGAAGGCGGCCCCCUGGACAAAGACUGACGCUCAGGUGCGAAAGCGUGGGGAGCAAACAGGAUUAGAUACCCUUGUAGUC